UACGAAGGGUGCAAGCGUUAAUCGGAAUUACUGGGCGUAAAGGGUGCGUAGGCGGUUGUUUAAGUCUGCCGUGAAAUCCCCGGGCUCAACCUGGGAAUGGCGGUGGAUACUGGGCAGCUAGAGUGUGUCAGAGGAUGGUGGAAUUCCCGGUGUAGCGGUGAAGUGCGUAGAGAUCGGGAGGAACAUCAGUGGCGAAGGCGGCCAUCUGGGACAACACUGACGCUGAAGCACGAAAGCGUGGGGAGCAAACAGG
rnacentral:rRNA from 1 species